rnacentral:rRNA from 1 species
GGAGUUAGCCGGUGCUUCUUCUGCGAGUAACGUCACAGAUGUAAGGUAUUAACUUACACCCUUUCCUCCUCGCUGAAAGUGCUUUACAACCCGAAGGCCUUCUUCACACACGCGGCAUGGCUGCAUCAGGGUUUCCCCCAUUGUGCAAUAUUCCCCACUGCUGCCUCCCGUAGGAGUCUGGGCCGUGUCUCAGUCCCAGUGUGGCUGAUCAUCCUCUCAGACCAGCUAGGGAUCGUCGCCUAGGUGAGCCUUUACCUCACCUACUAGCUAAUCCCACCUGGGCUUAUCCAUCAGCGCAAGGCCCGAAGGUCCCCUGCUUUCCCCCGUAGGGCGUAUGCGGUAUUAGCAGUCGUUUCCAACUGUUAUCCCCCACAAAUGGGCAAAUUCCCAGGCAUUACUCACCCGUCCGCCGCUCGUCAUCUUCAAAAGCAAGCUUUUGAAAUGUUACCGCUCGACUUGCAUGUGUUAGGCCUGCCGCCAGCGUUCAAUCUGAGCCAAGUANACUAACUAACUCGUACGUACGUAGGACGGGCGGGUCGGUACGGACGAACGGGCCGACGUAGUAG